rnacentral:tRNA from 1 species
GGAUUGUGGCUCAGUGGUAGAGCACUCCCCUAACCUGGGUGGGACCUGGGUUCCAUUCUCAGCACCA